rnacentral:lncRNA from 1 species
GCCUUUCUCUCUGCAGAUUUUCUUCAAGCAGUGUCUUUUCUUUGUCAAAAGGAGAUUCUGUAACCAGAGGACCUGCUCCUCUGAGUCAAAGAAAAGAGCUGUCAGUUAUUUUCCUGCCUUUACUAAAGAUUAAGGAAAAAAAGGCCUUGAAAAAGCACCCCAAAACACUGGAUCUUGGAGUAGAUGGGGACAGAUGGUAUCUGUGAGAUAAGGAUGCUCUCAGGAGAAUGGGUCAGGUGGAAAGACUGGGGGACAGUGGUUCCCCAAGACAGGGG